rnacentral:rRNA from 1 species
UCAAUGGACGCAAGUCUGAACCAGCCAUGCCGCGUGCAGGAUGACGGUCCUAUGGAUUGUAAACUGCUUUUGUACGAGAAGAAACACUCCUAUGUAUAGGAGCUUGACGGUAUCGUAAGAAUAAGGAUCGGCUAACUCC